rnacentral:rRNA from 1 species
AUUGAACGCUGGCGGCAGGCCUAACACAUGCAAGUCGAGCGGAUGAAGGGAGCUUGCUCCUGGAUUCAGCGGCGGACGGGUGAGUAAUGCCUAGGAAUCUGCCUGGUAGUGGGGGAUAACGUCCGGAAACGGGCGCUAAUACCGCAUACGUCCUGAGGGAGAAAGUGGGGGAUCUUCGGACCUCACGCUAUCAGAUGAGCCUAGGUCGGAUUAGCUAGUUGGUGGGGUAAAGGCCUACCAAGGCGACGAUCCGUAACUGGUCUGAGAGGAUGAUCAGUCACACUGGAACUGAGACACGGUCCCGACUCCUACGGGAGGCAGCAGUGGGGAAUAUUGGACAAUGGGCGAAAGCCUGAUACAGCCAUGCAGCGUGUGUGAAGAAGGUCUUCGGAUUGUAAAGCACUUUAAGUUGGGAGGAAGGGCAGUAAGUUAAUACCUUGCUGUUUUGACGUUACCAACAGAAUAAGCACCGGCUAACUUCGUG